rnacentral:rRNA from 1 species
UGGGGAAUUUUGGACAAUGGGCGCAAGCCUGAUCCAGCCAUGCCGCGUGCGGGAAGAAGGCCUUCGGGUUGUAAACCGCUUUUGUCAGGGAAGAAAUACUCUGGGCUAAUACCCUGGGGUGAUGACGGUACCUGAAGAAUAAGCACCGGCUAACUACGUGCCAGCAGCCGCGGUAAUACGUAGGGUGCGAGCGUUAAUCGGAAUUACUGGGAGUAAAGCGUGCGCAGGCGGUUGUGUAAGACAGAUGUGAAAUCCCCGGGCUUAACCUGGGAACUGCAUUGGUGACUGCACGGCUUGAGUGCGGCAGAGGGGGAUGGAAUUCCGCGUGUAGCAGUGAAAUGCGUAGAUAUGCGGAGGAACACCGAUGGCGAAGGCAAUCCCCUGGGCCUGCACUGACGCUCAUGCACGAAAGCGUGGGGAGCAAACA